AUUACCAAGGUAGCACUUUAUCAUGAUAACCCAAAGUCCUCUGUCGCAUUAAAAGGCCCAUAUGUCUCUAUAAAAGCAAUGAAACUGAGAAAAAAAACGAUCUCUUUGCUGCCUAUAACCCUUCCAUUACAAAUAUCUUCCUAUUCCUGUUGUACAUAUUCUUUUGGAGAAGAACAUGCACCAACACAAAUGGAAGUGUUUGACUCUUCUGGAAACAAUCCAGAGCAUCCCUACCUGACGUCAGACGUCAACUUCCUCGAAACAUGAACAAAGCUAUCCAAGAACAUGAUGACCAUGACAUGAACACCGUGAAUUUUGACCUAACCAUUGAUGUACCCUUACUUGUUGAGGUGUCGUAGUCCCGUAUAAGCAUUGAAGAGUUCAUUUCACCUUGUGUGGAUCAGUCCCCUCCACAAGAUCCGAUCCAAAGUAUCAAAGCACGUCUGAUGGCCAUUGAGUAGUCGGCAGACAUGCUUGACGUUUGGACCACCCAAAUGAAGGCCCUCGUAGUAUAUAUCAAGAUGAUGCUGCCCACUUUAUGUAAGCCAGAGGAGACACCUCAAAUGAUACCUACUACUAGGGUUCAAGUCUAGGAUGAACCCAUGGACAAGAAAUCAAUGCAGCUGAUAAACCCUUUUGUGGUUUAUCUUGUGCUUAAUUUGGGGGUUUUUGUCAAUGUUUCUCGCACUUAUUCACAAGAAAUGCAUGGUUUUGUGUUCACUUCCUAAUAUUGCUCCAUGAUAGAAAACAUGCUUAUUUUGCCUUAGAAUUGCUAUAUUUUGAUCCUCUUUAUUGCCAUUCGAUGUCGUGACGUAUUUGUUGAGUGAUUUCAGAAUUAAUAGGGUAAGAAUGGCCUAGAAGAGAGAAGGAAAGCAUGCAUAAGAGGAAGGAACAUGAAGAUUUGGAUUUUGGAAACUGCAGCACCGACGCGCACGCAUGGAUGAGGAUAGCUGGAAGCGGCGUGAUGAGCGGAUAUUUUAUACGCUUUUUGGGGGUAUUUUCUGGCUGAAAUUGAGGGACCUGAGCAAAAAUCUGAUUCAGAGGCUGAAAAAGGACUGCAGAUGCUGUUGGAUUCUGACCUCCCUGCACUUGAAGUGGAUUUUCUGAAGCUACAGAACUCCAAAUGGCGCGCUCCCAAUUGCGUUAGAAAGUAGACAUCCAGGGAUUUCCAGAAAUAUAUAAUAUUCCACACUUUGAGUGAGUUUUGAUGACAUAAAAUGGUGUCAAAACGCAAGCUCUCUGCCCUUUUCUGGCGUCAAAAUGCCAGAACUGGCAUAAAAGUUGGAGUUAAAUGCUCAAACUGGCACCAAAGCUGUCGUUUAACUCCAGGAAUAGCCUAUGCACGUGAAAGCUCCAAUGCUCAGCCUAAGUACACACCAAGUGGGCCUUAGAAGUGGAUUUCUGCUCUACCUAUCUUAAUCUACUCAUUUUCUGUAAACCUAGGUUACUAGUUGAGUAUAAAAACUACUUUUAGAGAUUUAUUUUGUACCU